rnacentral:rRNA from 1 species
UACGAAGGGGGCCAGCGUUGCUCGGAAUCACUGGGCGUAAAGGGUGCGUAGGCGGGUUUUUAAGUCAGAGGUGAAAUCCUGGAGCUCAACUCCAGAACUGCCUUUGAUACUGAAAGUCUUGAGUAUGGGAGAGGUGAGUGGAACUGCGAGUGUAGAGGUGAAAUUCGUAGAUAUUCGCAAGAACACCAGUGGCGAAGGCGGCUCACUGGCCCAUUACUGACGCUGAGGCACGAAAGCGUGGGGAGCAAACAGG